GCAGUAGAACGCUGAGACUUUAGCUUGCUAAAGUUGGAAGAGUUGCGAACGGGUGAGUAACGCGUAGGUAACCUGCCUACUAGCGGGGGAUAACUAUUGGAAACGAUAGCUAAUACCGCAUAACAGCAUUUAACUCAUGUUAGAUGCUUGAAAGGAGCAAUUGCUUCACUAGUAGAUGGACCUGCGUUGUAUUAGCUAGUUGGUGAGGUAACGGCUCACCAAGGCGACGAUACAUAGCCGACCUGAGAGGGUGAUCGGCCACACUGGGACUGAGACACGGCCCAGACUCCUACGGGAGGCAGCAGUAGGGAAUCUUCGGCAAUGGGGGCAACCCUGACCGAGCAACGCCGCGUGAGUG
rnacentral:rRNA from 1 species